rnacentral:rRNA from 1 species
AGUGAAUAGAUACCCAGGUAGUCCACGCCCUAAACGAUGUCAACUGGUUGUUGGUCCUUCACUGGAUCAGUAAACGAAAGCUAAACGCGUGAAGUUGACCGCCUGGGGAGUACGGCCGCAAGGUUGAAACUCAAAGGGAUUGACGGGGACCCGCACAAGCGGUGGAUGAUGUGGUUUAAAUUCGAUGCAACGCGAAAAACCUUACCUACCCUUGACAUGCCUCGAACCCUGCAGAGAUGUGGGGGUGCCCGAAAGGGAGCGAGGACACAGGUGCUGCAUGGCUGUCGUCAGCUCGUGUCGUGAGAUGUUGGGUUAAGUCCCGCAACGAGCGCAACCCUUGCCAUUAGUUGCUACGAAAGGGCACUCUAAUGGGACUGCCGGUGACAAACCGGAGGAAGGUGGGGAUGACGUCAAGUCCUCAUGGCCCUUAUGGGUAGGGCUACACACGUCAUACAAUGGCUGGUACAGAGGGUUGCCAACCCGCGAGGGGGAGCCAAUCCCAUAAAAGCCAGUCGUAGUCCGGAUCGCAGUCUGCAACUCG